rnacentral:rRNA from 1 species
UGCAAGUCGAACGAAGUAGCAAUACUUAGUGGCAGACGGGUGAGUAACAUGUAGGUAUCUGCCCUUUGGCCUGGAAUAACACGAGGAAACUUGUGCUAAUACCGGAUAAGUCUUUACGGAGAAAGCUUUAUGCACCAUUGGAUGAGCCUGCACUUGAUUAGUUUGUUGGUGGGGUAAUGGCCUACCAAGACAAUGAUCAAUAGCUGAUUUGAGAGGAUGAUCAGCCACAUUGGAACUGAGACACGGUCCAAACUCCUACGGGAGGCAGCAGUAGGGAAUCUUGCACAAUGGAGGAAACUCUGAUGCAGCGAUGCCGCGUGAGUGAAGAAGGCCUUUGGGUUGUAAAGCUCUUUCGUCGGGGAAGAAAAUGACUGUACCCGAAUAAGAAGGUCCGGCUAACUUCGUGCCAGCAGCCGCGGUAAUACGAAGGGACCUAGCGUAGUUCGGAAUUACUGGGCUUAAAGAGUUCGUAGGUGGUUAAAAAAGUUGGUGGUGAAAUCCCAGAGCUUAACUCUGGAACUGCCAUCAAAACUUUUUAGCUAGAGUAUGAUAGAGGAAAGCAGAAUUUCUAGUGUAGAGGUGAAAUUCGUAGAUAUUAGAAAGAAUACCGAUUGCGAAGGCAGCUUUCUGGAUCAUUACUGACACUGAGGAACGAAAGCAUGGGUAGCGAAGAGGAUUAGAUACCCUCGUAGUCCAUGCCGUAAACGAUGUGUGUUAGACGUUGGAAAUUUAUUUUCAGUGUCGCAGCGAAAGCAAUAAACACACCGCCUGGGGAGUACGACCGCAAGGUUAAAACUCAAAUGAAUUGACGGGGACCCGCACAAGUAGUGGAGCAUGUGGUUUAAUUCGAAGAUACGCGCAGAACCUUACCAACACUUGACAUGUUCGUCGCGACUUUAAGAGAUUAAAGUUUUCGGUUCGGCCGGACGAAACACAGUGCUGCAUGGCUGUCGUCAGCUCGUGUCGUGAGAUGUUGGGUUAAGUCCCGCAACGAGCGCAACCCU